rnacentral:rRNA from 1 species
CGAGGUGCAGCGUUACUCGGAUUACUGGCGUAGCGUGCGUAGGUGGUUGUAAGUCUGAUGUGAAGCCCUGGCUCAACCUGGAAUGGCAUUGGAUACUGGCAGGCUAGAGUGCGGUAGAGGUAGUGGAAUUCCCGGUGUAGCAGUGAAUGCGUAGAGAUCGGGAGGAACAUCUGUGGCGAAGGCGACUACCUGGACCAGCACUGACACUGAGGCACGAAGCGUGGGAGCAAACAGGAUU